AUGAACGCUAGCUACAGGCUUAACACAUGCAAGUCGAGGGGCAGCAUGGUCUUAGCUUGCUAAGACUGAUGGCGACCGGCGCACGGGUGAGUAACACGUAUCCAACCUGCCGUCUACUCUUGGACAGCCUUCUGAAAGGAAGAUUAAUACAAGAUGGCAUCAUGAGUCCGCAUGUUCACAUGAUUAAAGGUAUUCCGGUAGACGAUGGGGAUGCGUUCCAUUAGAUAGUAGGCGGGGUAACGGCCCACCUAGUCUUCGAUGGAUAGAGGUUCUGAGAGGAAGGUCCCCCACAUUGGAACUGAGACACGGUCCAAACUCCUACGGGAGGCAGCAGUGAGGAAUAUUGGUCAAUGGGCGAGAGCCUGAACCAGCCAAGUAGCGUGAAGGAUGACUGCCCUAUGGGUUGUAAACUUCUUUUAUAAAGGAAUAAAGUCGGGUAUGGAUACCCGUUUGCAUGUACUUUAUGAAUAAGGAUCGGCUAACUCCGUGCCAGCAGCCGCGGUAAUACGGAGGAUCCGAGCGUUAUCCGGAUUUAUUGGGUUUAAAGGGAGCGUAGAUGGAUGUUUAAGUCAGUUGUGAAAGUUUGCGGCUCAACCGUAAAAUUGCUGUUGAUACCGUAUAUCUUCAGUGCCGUUGAGGCAGGCGGAAUUCGUGGUGUAGCGGUGAAAUGCUUAGAUAUCACGAAGAACUCCGAUUGCGAAGGCAGCCUGCUAAGCUGCAACUGACAUUGAGGCUCGAAAGUGUGGGUAUCAAACAGGAUUAGAUACCCUGGUAGUCCACACAGUAAACGAUGAAUACUCGCUGUUUGCGAUAUACAGUAAGCGGCCAAGCGAAAGCGUUAAGUAUUCCACCUGGGGAGUACGCCGGCAACGGUGAAACUCAAAGGAAUUGACGGGGGCCCGCACAAGCGGAGGAACAUGUGGUUUAAUUCGAUGAUACGCGAGGAACCUUACCCGGGCUUAAAUUGCAGAUGAAUUACGGUGAAAGCCGUAAGCCGCAAGGCAUCUGUGAAGGUGCUGCAUGGUUGUCGUCAGCUCGUGCCGUGAGGUGUCGGCUUAAGUGCCAUAACGAGCGCAACCCUUGUUGUCAGUUACUAACAGGUUCCGCUGAGGACUCUGACAAGACUGCCAUCGUAAGAUGUGAGGAAGGUGGGGAUGACGUCAAAUCAGCACGGCCCUUACGUCCGGGGCUACACACGUGUUACAAUGGGGGGUACAGAGGGCCGCUACCACGCGAGUGGAUGCCAAUCCCCAAAACCUCUCUCAGUUCGGACUGGAGUCUGCAACCCGACUCCACGAAGCUGGAUUCGCUAGUAAUCGCGCAUCAGCCACGGCGCGGUGAAUACGUUCCCGGGCCUUGUACACACCGCCCGUCAAGCCAUGGGAGCCGGGGGUACCUGAAGUGCGUAACCGCGAGGAGCGCCCUAGGGUAAAACUGGUGACUGGGGCU
rnacentral:rRNA from 1 species